rnacentral:rRNA from 1 species
UACGUAGGUGGCAAGCGUUGUUCGGAAUUACUGGGCGUAAAGGGCGCGUAGGCGGUUCGGUAAGUCCUGUGUGAAAUCCCUCGGCUCAACUGAGGAACUGCACGGGAGACUGCCGGGCUUGAGUUCUGGAGGGGGUAGCGGAAUUCCUGGUGUAGCGGUGAAAUGCGUAGAUAUCAGGAGGAACACCGGUGGCGAAGGCGGCUACCUGGACAGAAACUGACGCUGAGGCACGAAAGCUAGGGGAGCAAACAGG